CCUACGGGAGGCAGCAGUGAGGAAUAUUGGUCAAUGGCCUGGAGGCUGAACCAGCCAAGUCGCGUGAGGGAAGACGGCCCUACGGGUUGUAAACCUCUUUUGUCAGGGAGCAAGGUGCAGGUCGGGACCUGCUGUGAGCGUACCUGAAGAAAAAGCAUCGGCUAACUCCGUGCCAGCAGCCGCGGUAAUACGGAGGAUGCGAGCGUUAUCCGGAUUUAUUGGGUUUAAAGGGUGCGCAGGCGGAGGCACAAGUCAGCGGUAAAAUCGCGGGGCUCAACCCCGCUCCGCCGUUGAAACUGUGGCCCUUGAGUGCGCGAAGGGUAGGCGGAAUGCGUGGUGUAGCGGUGAAAUGCAUAGAUAGCACGCAGAACUCCGAUCGCGAAGGCAGCCUACCGGCGCGCAACUGACGCUCAUGCACGAAAGCGUGGGUAUCGAACAGGAUUAGAUACCCCGGUAGUC
rnacentral:rRNA from 1 species